rnacentral:rRNA from 1 species
CUUUGGGAGCUUGCUCCUAAAGGUUAGCGGCGGACGGGUGAGUAACACGUGGGCAACCUGCCUAUAAGACUGGGAUAACUUCGGGAAACCGGAGCUAAUACCGGAUAAUUCUUUUCUACACAUGUAGAAAAGCUAAAAGACGGUUUACGCUGUCACUUAUAGAUGGGCCCGCGGCGCAUUAGCUAGUUGGUGAGGUAACGGCUCACCAAGGCCACGAUGCGUAGCCGACCUGAGAGGGUGAUCGGCCACACUGGGACUGAGACACGGCCCAGACUCCUACGGGAGGCAGCAGUAGGGAAUCUUCCGCAAUGGACGAAAGUCUGACGGAGCAACGCCGCGUGAGUGAUGAAGGUUUUCGGA